ACACCCUGGGCCUGGCAGCACCUCACCCCCAUCCUGCGCCCCUUCUCACUCUCCACCGCCUGGUGCUGCGCUCCCUGAGGUUCCCCCCUCCUGGGCUCCUCCUGGCUCCCUGCUGCUUCCUCCUCACUCCCCUCCCGCACCACAGGGCCCCAGGCUCUCCUGUAGCCACUCUGGCCUUGAGGUGGUGGCCCAGACUCUGUCCACUGGACCCUCCCGCAGCCCCAGCCUCUCCCUGGCACUUCCCGUCUCCAACCAGAUGUCUCAGAGGCACAGACACAAACUUCCAGAAGCCAAAAUAAGGCCAGAUCUUCUCUCGAAAAUGUCCCCUCCUGCAGAGUUGGCAGUUUCAAUUCUGAGAUUUCCAGGGAACCACAGUGGCGACACCCUGUGGGCUUCUGUGACCUCAGUGAUGUGUGCGGAGUCAUCGUCAGUGUCCACUCAGUUGUGAGAUGGAGGCGGUGGGCUCUGGGCUGCUGCCCAGCGUGCACUGUGCCACCCUCAGCAAACCUGCUGCUUCCCGGGUGCCCAGAACCAGCUUCCCACCCAGACCGUCACUACCCUGCGCUGCGUCCCCCUGUUGGCCUCCUUGCCCACCCCACCCUGUGCAGGCUUCCUGGGCGCUGCAGUCGGGGCGACCCCAUUAAAGUAGGUUUCAGUUCAUGUCCCUCUUCUGCUCAAGAUGCAGAAUAACUCAGAUGAAUCUACGUGGAAUGUUGUAGAAGUAGGGAUCUGGUCAAGCACCUGGAACAACUGGCAAGUUAUCUGCUGAAGGAAGAGGGGAUUUCACGGUGGCUGCCGACCCUGUGCUCAAACCAUGGUCCAGAGCAGAGAAGGAGCAGAGGCGUGGUCCUGCCUCUGUCUUGGGUGCUAUCUGGAGCAGCAGGACCAGAACCAAGACCCAGUUCUGUGCUUGGGAUGCCAAGAACCUGGACCUGGGACCCCGGCUCCCUAGCGGUGCCCAGUAAGAUCACUGGCAAGACAGCCAGGAGGUAAACAGGUGCCAGCCAAGAGGUCAAUUAAUCAUGGGUUAAUUCUCAAAUACCCUGGAAAAGGAAAGAGAUCAUCUCCUUGGGGUGACGUGGAUCUGCCUCGUGGAUGGACAGCUGGCCACCUGAGCCGUUGAUUCAGUCCAGACGUGAUCGGUAGACCCUGCCUCAGCCUUGCCACCUGUCCAGGCCUCCCGGGUCCAUGUCCUACUCUGUACUCUCACUAAAAGGACAUCUGUGAUGGACUCUGUCUUUAUUUACAGGGAGUCAAAUCUGACAGUCCGUGUAAUAUUUCUUGUCUGUUUUCAGGUACCUUUUUGCACACCUGUGUUUUGCAUGUGAUACAUGCUCUGUAUCAUUUUCAUGACACCAAAAUCGGCUUAUAAGUAAAUGAGCCCUCAUAAAUUCAAAGAAAUGGAGCCAAGUAACUUUUAUGACUUAAGUAAGCCCUUAAUAAAAAGGUCAAUUUAUUUAUUUACUUUUAGAAGAUCAAUUUAAACUGGUUAAAAAGAUAAAAGUAGAUGUCACUGAAAUUACUAACCCAUGUUUUUUUCUAGGUGGUCGGCCAAUCAAGAGAGCAUUGGUUUCUAUGAAAUAUUUAUAGUGUCCAUUGCUUUUAAGGUUUUUCUUCAUCAGGAAAAGAUAGCUCAACGUUUACUAGUUUUAACUUAUAUUUGGUUUUCAUUGGUAACCUAAAGUUAACAGUUAAAAAUGGGUAAAUUAGAUUUCACAUCAAUGAGAUCAAUCUUUAUGAAUGUGUUUGUAAAAAGAGACAUAGGAUUAAUUUGCAAAGUUAAAAUACAAAGCAUCAACUACUAAAUAUAUAUCUUAAACUCUAUAAGAAAUAUUUGGUUCUACUAAAUGUGUUUAUAUAUAUUGUUGGUAAGUGAAAAAUCAUUUUGAUUGUUUUAUUUCUGGGUUUUUUUUUCACUAAAAGCAAGGUUGCCAACAGUUAGGGCUCUAACAGAUGUGAUUCUACAUGGAAGAAGUGCAAAAGGUUUCACCUGUGUUCACAUUUAAAAUCAUGUAAGGAUUUGUCUAAGGUCGAAUUUUGAUGUGAUGAUAUAAAAACCAAAAUCUAUUUCUCUUAAAACAAUGAAGUCUUAGAACAUUAAUCUCUCUUAUCUAUCUAUCAAGAUGAUUUCUUGUUUCUAUUAGGUGUUAUUACUUAGGGUAACUAAGUCUUAAAGGAAUUAGGGAAUCCUAGCUAAUUUAAACAUUUUAAAUGAUUCUUUGUAACCAUGAUUAUACAAACAACAGUUAUUUUAGGUUACCAACACCCUAAGCAUAUGUGACUAGAGAUAUGUAUGCAUCUGAGAACUAAAUAUGUUUGUCCAAGCAUUAUUUGAAAGUUAUUAACAUGAAAGCUACUUAAGUUUAGCAUCAGAUAAUAAAUCUAUUUCUGAUCAUUAA